rnacentral:rRNA from 1 species
AUUGAACGCUGGCGGCAGGCCUAACACAUGCAAGCCGGGCGAGCGGCGGACGGGUGAGUAAUGUAUGGGGGUCUGCCUGAUGGAGGGGGAUAACUACCGGCAACGGUAGCUAAUACCGCAUACCAUCAGAGGACACCAUAUGGGAUUAGCUUGUAGGUAAGGUAACGGCUUACCUAGGCGACGAUCCCUAGCUGGUCUGAGAGGAUGAUCAGCCACACUGGGACUGAGACACGGCCCAGACUCCUACGGGGGGCAGCAGUGGUGAAUAUUGCACAAUGGGCGCAAGCCUGAUGCAGCCAUGCCGCGUGUAUGAAGAAGGCCUUCGGGUUGUAAAGUACUUUCAGUCGGGAGGCGUUACCGACAGAAGAAGCACCGGCUGACUCCGUGCCAGCCGCCGCGGUAAUUC